rnacentral:rRNA from 1 species
UAUUUAAUUUUAAUUUUUUUUUGUUUAAUUUUUUUCAAUAAAUAAAUAAAUUUAUAGUAUAAAUUUUUUGAAUUAACUAAAUUAAUUAUGUCAAAUGUACUGUGAAGGAUACAAUAAAUUAGAUUAAAAGAACUUAAUUAUAAGGUACCUUUUGUAUCAGGGUUUAUUAAAUUUAACUUAUACAUUUUAAAUUUCCCGAAAUUUAAAGAGAUAUAUAUUUAUUAAUGUAUAAAUUUCAGAUUAUUAUAUAAUAGAUAUAUAGUGGUUAUAUGCUUUUCAAUUUAAAAAUAUCUGGUUACUUUUUAAUUCAAUUUAAUUGACAAUUAAAUUGGUAAGAAAAAUUUUAAUUUUUCUUUUAAUUUAAUUAAAUUGUUAGAGGGACAAGCUUCUAAUAAAUUUUAUAAUUUUUCAUUUAUUAUUUUUAACUAAUAUUAGGAUUAAUAUUUUCUAUAUUUAUAUUUUUAUAAAAAAAGUUGAUUUUAUUUUUGAUUUUUUUUAAUUUAAAAUUUUAAAAAGUUAUUUUAUUUAAUUGUUUAUUAUAAGAGAUAAUGAUAAAAUAAGUAUAUUUUGUUAUUUAAUUUAAGAAUUCGGCAAUUUUAAUUCUCGAUUGUUUAAUAAAAACAUUUCUUUUUGGUUUUUUAAAAAGUAAGACCUGCUCAAUGAUCUUUUAAAUAGCCGCGUUAUAACCGUGCUAAGGUAGCAUAAUAAUUUGUCUUUUAAUUAAGGUCUAGUAUGAAUGGUUAAACGAGGAAUUAACUUUUUUAAUUAAAUUAAUUUUAACUUUAUUUUUUAGUUAAAAAGCUAAAAUAAAAUUAAAGGACGAUAAGACCCUAUAGAAUUUUAUUUAAAAGAAUUUAUUUUAUUAUUAUUAAUAAACAUAAAAUAAAUUUUAUAAAUUUGGUUGGGGUGAUUUUUAUAUUUUAUUAACUAUAAUAUUUGUUUUUCAUUAAUUAAUGAAGUUCUGAUCCUUUUAUUAAGAUUAAUAGAAAAAAUUACCUUAGGGAUAACAGCGUAAUUUUCUUGGAGAGUUCUUAUUAAUAAGAAAGAUUGCGACCUCGAUGUUGGAUUAAAAUAAAAUUAUGGUGUAGAAGCUAUAAAUUUAAGUCUGUUCGACUUUUAAAAUUUUACAUGAUCUGAGUUAAGACCGGCGUGAGCCAGGUUGGUUUCUAUCCUUAAUUAAUAAUUAUAGUUUAGUACGAAAGGACCAACUAUUACAAAUAUUUUUGU